rnacentral:rRNA from 1 species
GAUCCUGGCUCAGAACGAACGCUGGCGGCGUGCUUAACACAUGCAAGUCGAACGCGAAAGGGACUUCGGUCCUGAGUAAAGUGGCGCACGGGUGAGUAACGCGUAGAUAACCUGUCUUUAUGUCUGGAAUAAUACGCCGAAAGGGGUACUAAUACCGGAUAUUUUUGCAUUGCAUAAGCAGUGUAAGCAAAGGUGGCCUCUGACAUAAGCUACUGCAUAAAGAGGGGUCUGCGUACCAUUAGCUAGUAGGUGGGGUAAAGGCCUACCUAGGCUACGAUGGUUAGCGGGUCUGAGAGGAUGAUCCGCCACACUGGCACUGGAACACGGGCCAGACUCCGUACGGGAGGCAGCAGUGAGGAAUAUUGCGCAUGGGGGCAACCCUGACGCAGCGACGCCGCGUGAAGUGAGGAAGGCCUUCGGGUCGUAAAGCUCUGUCAAAGGGAAAGAAGUGCAUGGUGGUUAAUACCUGCCAUGUUUGACGGUACCCUUAAAGGAAGCACCGGCUAACUCCGUGCCAGCCGCGGC